GUGCUAGCUUUGGCAGCACAUAUAUUAAAAUUGGACCGAUAUGGAGAAGAUUAACAUGGCACUUGUGCAAGGAUGACAAGCAAAUUCGUGAAGCGUUCCAUAUUUUU